rnacentral:rRNA from 1 species
GAAUAUUGCACAAUGGGCGCAAGCCUGAUGCAGCGACGCCGCGUGAGGGAUGACGGCCUUCGGGUUGUAAACCUCUUUCAGUACCGACGAAGCGCAAGUGACGGUAGGUACAGAAGAAGCACCGGCCAACUACGUGCCAGCAGCCGCGGUAAUACGUAGGGUGCGAGCGUUGUCCGGAAUUACUGGGCGUAAAGAGCUCGUAGGCGGUUUGUCGCGUCGUCUGUGAAAACCCGCAGCUCAACUGCGGGCUUGCAGGCGAUACGGGCAGACUUGAGUACUGCAGGGGAGACUGGAAUUCCUGGUGUAGCGGUGAAAUGCGCAGAUAUCAGGAGGAACACCGGUGGCGAAGGCGGGUCUCUGGGCAGUAACUGACGCUGAGGAGCGAAAGCGUGGGUAGCGAA